rnacentral:rRNA from 1 species
GACGUAGGGGGCAAGCGUUGUCCGGAUUUAUUGGGCGUAAAGAGCGUGUAGGCGGCCAAGCAGGUCAGCUGUGAAAACUCGAGGCUCAACCUCGAGACGUCGGUUGAAACCGCUUGGCUAGAGUCCGGAAGAGGAGAGUGGAAUUCCCGGUGUAGCGGUGAAAUGCGCAGAUAUCGGGAAGAACACCCGUGGCGAAGGCGGCUCUCUGGGACGGUACUGACGCUGAGACGCGAAAGCGUGGGGAGCGAACAGG